rnacentral:snRNA from 1 species
GUGCUCAUUUCAGUAGCACAUAUAUUAAAAUUGGAAUAAUACAAGGAAGAUUAGCAUGUCCCCUGUGCAAGAAUGGCAUGCAAAUAUGUGAAGUUCUGUAAACCCAC